AGUCGUCAUGAGCAAGAGGAAGCAAGAGGGUUGCAGAGACAUUCGGCAAUGUUUUGCCUCGUCUCAGAAAAGAAGCAAAGUAACUAAAGAGGGUUGACACACAACUCUACACAGCAGCGUUGCAGUUGCUAAUAUAGCAAUAUAAUAAUUAUUAAGUCAAGUUUCAUUCAAGGUUACAAAACAUUGUAUAAUGUAUGUAUUCAUAGAUUAAUCCAUAACUACCGUAAUCAGAAAACAUUUAGGUUAUGUCCUUGACAUGUCUAAUUCUUUAACAGUGCAUCAUUCAAUACGGCUAAUGGUUUCACAAUGAGAUUAGCUCAGUGCGCUCUCUCGUGAAACUCAUCUAUGUACUUAUUAAACAAGUGGAUGAAAAUAUCAGAAAAUCUAUAUUUUCUGAGGGGUAACAAAAGUUUUGGGGUGACUUCUAUUUAGGUCCAUGAGAUAGAUGCACCUGGGUGGGUUUUACUCAGCAUUGGCAAAUGUGAUGGUUAUGCAAUAAAAAAUGUAAUGGAAGUAAGAACUGGCUGGAUUUUGUGUCCUUGUUGUGGUGGUGCAGGUGUUUGUUUGUGUAUGUUUUGUAAAAAAGACAAAACAUCAAUGAAUGUAAUGUGGAAAAAAAAAGGACUGGAUUGGUUGAAAUAUUGAGGAGCACAAAAUGUUAUAUUUAAUUUAAAAAGUAAAGGAAAACAGAGCUCUGAAGUAUAUGUGUGUCAUCCUUUUCCUAAUUUCAAGUCUUCCACACUCCCAGACUGCUUGGUCACAUCCAGUAUUAAAGUGUUUUAAA